AAGUCGUAACAAGGUUUCCGUAGGUGAACCUGCGGAAGGAUCAUUAGAAAAACUUAAAUUUGAUGAGUAAUCAUCAUCUUUUAUAAAAUUAAAAACUGUGAACCCUUAACUUGGCGUGUUCCAUUAUGUGGGUAACAAGUGUGGGAAUACACUUCCACGCCAAAGGAUUUUUUAAACUAUUUAUUUGAGAGAUGCUUUUUAAAUCAUGUAAUUUAAAACUUAGAGAAGCUUAAUUAAAUACAACCUUUAACAAUGGAUCUCUUGGCUCCU
rnacentral:misc_RNA from 1 species